CGCGCUCGGAUUUCGCAUCACGAUCGCGUCCGGGUCGGGCAAGUUGACGAUCACGAGACGCGCGUCCUGGCUCUUGCCGCGGAUGAUCUUGUUCAGCGCGGCGGGGCCGCUCGCGUCCUCGACCCAGCCGCCCGCGGCGGCGGCGGCGGCGGCGGCGGCGUCGGUUUUUUUCGUCGCCGCCGGCUGCGGCGCGGGGGAGUACGACGCGGUGACGUCGUUAUCUACGAAACCGACAGACUUGGAGCGUUUUCGCACCGCCGGCGGAUUCGUAUCGGCCUCCUCCUCCUCGACGAUGAUCACGUCGUCGGACGUCACCGACGAGACGCUCGGCCGCGCGUCCGCCGCGCCUUCGCCCGCCUCCGCCUCCGCCGCCGCCGCCGCCGGAGGCGGCCUCGGCGAGUCGUCCGCGAUGGGCGCCAGCGGCGGCUUCGCGGGCUUCUCCCCGCUCACGCUCGACAUGUCGAAGAUAGACGACAAGCUCGCGUGCUCGUACGGCGACGCGUCCGCGGACUCGUUGCUGCGGCGGUCGUGC
rnacentral:lncRNA from 1 species